GUUAUAUGGUCAAGUGAAGAAGCGCAUACGGUGGAUGCCUUGGCAGUCAGAGGCGAUGAAAGACGUGAUAGCCUGCGAUAAGCUUCGGUGAGGUGGCAAAUGACCUGUGACCCGGAGAUCUCUGAAUGGGGGAACCCACCUAGCAUAAGCUAGGUAUCUUAACCUGAAUCCAUAGGGUUAAGAGGCGAACCAGGGGAACUGAAACAUCUAAGUACCCUGAGGAAAAGAAAUCAACCGAGAUUCCCUUAGUAGUGGCGAGCGAACGGGGACCAGCCCUUAAGUUGAUUUGAGAGUAGCGGAACGCUCUGGAAAGUGCGGCCAUAGUGGGUGAUAGCCCUGUACGCGAAACGCUCUUAUCAAUGAAAUCGAGUAGGACGGGGCACGAGAAACCCUGUCUGAAUAUGGGGGGACCAUCCUCCAAGGCUAAAUACUCCUGACUGACCGAUAGUGAACCAGUACCGUGAGGGAAAGGCGAAAAGAACCCCGGAGAGGGGAGUGAAAUAGAACCUGAAACCGUAUGCGUACAAGCAGUGGGAGCCUACUUUGUUAGGUGACUGCGUACCUUUUGUAUAAUGGGUCAGCGACUUAUUUUCAGUGGCGAGCUUAACCGAAUAGGGGAGGCGUAGCGAAAGCGAGUCUUAAUAGGGCGUCUAGUCGCUGGGAAUAGACCCGAAACCGGGCGAUCUAUCCAUGAGCAGGUUGAAGGUUAGGUAACACUGACUGGAGGACCGAACCCACUUCCGUUGAAAAGGCAGGGGAUGACUUGUGGAUCGGAGUGAAAGGCUAAUCAAGCUCGGAGAUAGCUGGUUCUCCUCGAAAGCUAUUUAGGUAGCGCCUCAUGUAUCACUCUGGGGGGUAGAGCACUGUUUCGGCUAGGGGGUCAUCCCGACUUACCAAACCGAUGCAAACUCCGAAUACCCAGAAGUGCCGAGCAUGGGAGACACACGGCGGGUGCUAACGUCCGUCGUGAAAAGGGAAACAACCCAGACCGUCAGCUAAGGUCCCAAAGUCCUGGUUAAGUGGUAAACGAUGUGGGAAGGCUUAGACAGCUAGGAGGUUGGCUUAGAAGCAGCCACCCUUUAAAGAAAGCGUAAUAGCUCACUAGUCGAGUCGGCCUGCGCGGAAGAUGUAACGGGGCUCAAACCAGGCACCGAAGCUACGGGUAUCACCUCUGGUGAUGCGGUAGAGGAGCGUUCUGUAAGCCUGUGAAGGUGAGUUGAGAAGCUUGCUGGAGGUAUCAGAAGUGCGAAUGCUGACAUGAGUAACGACAAUGCGAGUGAAAAACUCGCACGCCGAAAGACCAAGGGUUCCUGCGCAACGUUAAUCGACGCAGGGUGAGUCGGUCCCUAAGGCGAGGCUGAAAGGCGUAGUCGAUGGGAAACGGGUUAAUAUUCCCGUACUUCUAGUUACUGCGAUGGGGGGACGGAGAAGGCUAGGCCAGCUUGGCGUUGGUUGUCCAAGUUUAAGGUGGUAGGCUGACUGUUUAGGUAAAUCCGGACGGUCUAGGCCGAGAGCUGAUGACGAUCCUUCUUUUAGAAGGAGAAGUGGUUGAUGCCAUGCUUCCAGGAAAAGCCUCUAAGCUUCAGGUAACUAGGAACCGUACCCCAAACCGACACAGGUGGUCGGGUAGAGAAUACCAAGGCGCUUGAGAGAACUCGGGUGAAGGAACUAGGCAAAAUGGCACCGUAACUUCGGGAGAAGGUGCGCCGGUGAGGGUGAAGGGUUUACCCCGUAAGCUCAUGCCGGUCGAAGAUACCAGGCCGCUGCGACUGUUUAUUAAAAACACAGCACUC
rnacentral:rRNA from 1 species